rnacentral:rRNA from 1 species
UAAGGAAUAUUGCGCAAUGGGGGAAACCCUGACGCAGCAACGCCGCGUGGAGGAUGACACUUUUCGGAGCGUAAACUCCUUUUAUCAGGAAAGAAUAAUGACGGUACCUGAUGAAUAAGCACCGGCUAACUCCGUGCCAGCAGCCGCGGUAAUACGGGGGGUGCAAGCGUUACUCGGAAUCACUGGGCGUAAAGGACGCGUAGGCGGAUUAUCAAGUCUUUUGUGAAAUCUAGUGGCUUAACCACUAAACUGCUUAGGAAACUGAUAGGCUAGAGUAGGGGAGAGGUAGAUGGAAUUCUUGGUGUAGGGGUAAAAUCCGUAGAGAUCAAGAAGAAUACCCAUUGCGAAAGCGAUCUGCUGGAACCUAACUGACGCUGAGGCGUGAAAGCGUUGGUAGCAAACAGG